rnacentral:rRNA from 1 species
GAUGAACGCUGGCGGCGUGCCUAAUACAUGCCAGUCGAGCGAACAGACGAGGAGCUUGCUCCUCUGACGUUAGCGGCGGACGGGUGAGUAACACGUGGAUAACCUACCUAUAAGACUGGGAUAACUUCGGGAAACCGGAGCUAAUACCGGAUAAUAUAUUGAACCGCAUGGUUUAAUAGUGAAAGACGGUUUUGCUGUCACUUAUAGAUGGAUCCGCGCCGCAUUAGCUAGUUGGUAAGGUAACGGCUUACCAAGGCAACGAUGCGUAGCCGACCUGAGAGGGUGAUCGGCCACACUGGAACUGAGACACGGUCCAGACUCCUACGGGAGGCAGCAGUAGGGAAUCUUCCGCAAUGGGCGAAAGCUUGACGGAGCAACGCCGCGUGAGUGAUGAAGGUCUUCGGAUCGUAAAACUCUGUUAUUAGGGAAGAACAAAUGUGUAAGUAACUAUGCACGUCUUGACGGUACCUAAUCAGAAAGCCACGGCUAACUACGUG